rnacentral:rRNA from 1 species
GGCGACAGUCACUGCUUACAGACCCGAACCCGGAUGAUCUAACCAUGGCCAGUAUGAAGCUUAGGUAACACUACGUGGAGGUACGAACCGACAGAUGUUGAAAAAUCAGCGGAUGAGUUGUGGUUAGGGGUGAAAUGCCAAUCGAAUUCGGAGCUAGCUGGUUCUCCCCGAAAUGCGUUUUGGCGCAGCGGUAAAUGUUAUAGUUUAGGGGUAAAGCACUGUUACGGUGCGGGCUGGUAAUUCGGUACCAAAUCGUGGCAAACUAAGAAUACUAAACGCAUAAUUUACCAGUAAGACUGUGGGGGAUAAGCUCCAUUGUCAAGAGGGAAACAGCCCAGAGCACCAGCUAAGGCCCCCAAAUAAUUACUAAGUGAUAAAGGUUGUGGGAGUGCUUAAACAAUCAGGAGGUUUGCUUAGAAGCAGCAAUCCUUUAAAGAGUGCGUAAUAGCUCACUGAUCGAGUAAACCUGCGCCGAAAAUGAAUGGGACUCAAGUAAUUUGCCGAAGCUGUGCGAUAUUUUAAUAAUAUCGGUAGGGGAGCGUUCUGUUGUAGGUUGAAGUAUUAGCGGAAGCGGAUAUGGACGAAGCAGAAGUGAGAAUGUCGGCUUGAGUAACGAAAAUAUAGGUGAGAAUCCUAUACCCCGAAAACCCAAGGUUUCCUCCGGAAGGCUCGUCCGCGGAGGGUAAGUCAGGACCUAAGGCGAGGCUGAAAAGCGUAGUCGAUGGACAACGGGUUAAUAUUCCCGUACCAUUCUUUAUUGACAACGAGGGACGGAGAAGGCUAAGCUAGCCGGAUAUUGGUUACCGGUUUAAACGUUCAAGAUGUUGAGAAGCGGCGAAAACGCUUUGAGUUGAGACGUGAGUACGAGAUGCUAAGGCGUCGAAGUAGUGUAUGUCAUACUUCCAAGAAAAGCUUGCACUGUCAUAAAUAAAAAAUGCCUGUACCAUAACCGACACAGGUGGGUAGGUAGAGUAUACUAAGGGGCGCGAGAUAACUCUCUCUAAGUAACUCGGCAAAAUAACUCCGUAACUUCGGGAGAAGGAGUGCCUUAUUCGUAAGGUUGCAAUAACAAGAUCCAAGCAACUGUUUAUCAAAAACACAGGUCUCCGCUAAGUCGCAAGACGAUGUAUGGGGGCUGACGCCUGCCCAGUGCCAGAAGGUUAAAGAAGUUGGUUAGCAUUAGCGAAGCUGAUAACUGAAGCCCUGGUGAACGGCGGCCGUAACUAUAACGGUCCUAAGGUAGCGAAAUUCCUUGUCGGGUAAGUUCCGACCCGCACGAAAGGCGUAAUGAUUUGGGUACUGUCUCAGAGAGGGGCUCGGUGAAAUAGACUUGUCUGUGAAGAUGCGGACUACCUGCACCUGGACAGAAAGACCCUAUGAAGCUUUACUGUAACUUGAAAUUGAAAUUGGACUUUAUU